rnacentral:sRNA from 1 species
AGUACCAUUUAUACAUUUUAGUACCUAAAUGUACGAAUUACAAAACAAUUUUCUUGUCCCUGAUUCAUACUGCCAAGGUCUACCUGUAUCCCAAUUUUAAGAGCUGUAGUUCAAUCCGUGAAGUAAAUACAAUAUUGUACGUUUUAGUACGCACAAGAGCUCUCACUCAAUCUGUAAAGAAAGUACCAAAUAGUAGCAAUUACAGCACUUUAAGUACGCUUUCGGUACGAUCACAACAUUUUUUUAUUUGGCGCAACUUGUCGCAUUUUUGUGAAGAUAACAAUCAUUUUUCUAUCAAUCAAGUUCUAGCUGUCGCCGUUCGCUGUAGACGAAGAUGAGCUAUUUCGUACUAGUUCGCACUUUUUGGAUCCUAAAUAAACCAAUUUUGAAAAAAUAAUUAAGUGACUCAAAGUAUGAUUCUGUGCAGAAUGUAACAAAUGGUACCAAUUGCGUUGCUAUACGUACGGUUUCUUCAGUUUCCGGUACGAUUUUUCACACAUUUCGUUCCACCCUUACUUUUUCGUAACAUGUAUUUUAAGCCAAAUUUCGAAGUUCAAGCUCGAAAUUACUAUUUUGUACGUUUUAGUGUGUAUGUAUGAAUGAAUUCGGUAGCAAAAUGUACGAAUUUUGAAAAAAAAUCAUCAUAUAUUUGCUGCAUCUGUAAAGAAAAUUGUACUAUUUUUGGAACCUAAAUGUAACAACUUUCAAAAGCUCAUACAGUCAUCAAAUUAAGAUUGAUCCGAUUAGUUUUGUAUCACGGCAAGUGAUGGUAAAGAAGGCCUACGUUGAACGAAUUAAAUUUUUAUUUAAUAAUACAAA